rnacentral:rRNA from 1 species
GACGUAGGGCGCGAGCGUUGUCCGGAUUUAUUGGGCGUAAAGAGCUCGUAGGCGGCUUGUUGCGUCGACUGUGAAAACCCGCGGCUUAACUGCGGGCUUGCAGUUGAUACGGGCAGGCUAGAGUUCGGUAGGGGAGACUGGAAUUCCUGGUGUAGCGGUGAAAUGCGCAGAUAUCAGGAGGAACACCGGUGGCGAAGGCGGGUCUCUGGGCCGAUGACUGACGCUGAGGAGCGAAAGCGUGGGGAGCGAACAGG